ACCUGACUGGCUCAGUCAGUAGAGCAUGUGACUCUUGAUCUCAGGGUCAUGAGUUCAAGCCCCAUGUUGGUUG
rnacentral:tRNA from 1 species